rnacentral:rRNA from 1 species
GACGAACGCUGGCGGCGUGCCUAAUACAUGCAAGUCGAACGCUGAAGGAGGAGCUUGCUUCUCUGGAUGAGUUGCGAACGGGUGAGUAACGCGUAGGUAACCUGCCUGGUAGCGGGGGAUAACUAUUGGAAACGAUAGCUAAUACCGCAUAAUAGUAGAUGUUGCAUGACAUUUUCUUAAAAGGUUCAAUUGCAUCACUACCAGAUGGUCCUGCGUUGUAUUAGCUUGUUGGUGAGGUAACGGCUCACCAAGGCGACGAUACAUAGCCGACCUGAUAGGGGGAUCGGCCACACUGGGAAGGAGACACGGCCCAGACGCCUACGGGAGGCAGCAGUAGGGAAUCUUCGGCAAUGGACGGAAGUCUGACCGAGCAACGCCGCGUGAGUGAAGAAGGUUUUCGGAUCGUAAAGCUCUGUUGUAAGAGAAGAACGAGUGUGAGAGUGGAAAGUUCACACUGUGACGGUAGCUUACCAGAAAGGGACGGCUAACUACGUG